UCUGAACUCUGCUGAGCUGAAAGUCAAAAUCCUGAUGUGUUGAGAGACAGCGUCCAGGUUGGGUCCCCAACGUGUGCUCGCCAGCCCGGGAUGAAGAGUGAAGCUGCUGUCCAGGUUGCAGGUGAGGCGAAGGAGGGAAUACUUCAGAGGGGGAACACUGAGAAACAAAAAUAUACAACUGUAUUUACUAUACUACUUGAAUGAAGAGGAGGGGGGGACAAACCAAGAACCUGUGGUGCAUUGGAGAAGUUGGUGCCUCUGGACGCUCGUUGAAGGAUGGUGGCGUACAAACGCCUCCACAUUUCUAUGGUAACUUCAAGCUAUUUUUAACUAAUCUAUCCACUUGGACACCUGUGGACGGAGAACCAACAAUGACAUGAAUGAGGGGACUAGGUUACCAGCGCGAUGUUUAUUUAAGCAAGUUUACGUAAAUAGAGGAAAGGUUAAAUGAUGGUGGAGUCAGCAAGCCGCUAUCUAGGUGGCACUAGCUAACGUUAGCAUGCGAGCUCCGAUGUAACCUUAAAAUUAGUUGAAUCAAAACACAACAAGAGCGAAAUAAUACAAUACGCCGCUAUAGCGGCGCUCGCGUCAGGUAUGCAUAAUUACAAAGACUAUUACAAAACAAGUCAUUAUCCAACCUUAGUAAAGUAUUGAAUGGACUGAAAUCCAACAGGGACUCAUGUCAGUUAUGUUAACCGCGCCGUCAUCGGUGACGUAGCUAAGCAGGAGGAAGCGUCGUGCAUUUCCUGGCAGUGACAUACAUAUUAAAAUAGACGAUCUUUGUUUUUGAAUUACAGUACUGUAAUCGGUUGGAAUAAUUGAUAACAAGGCGAUUGUAUUUCCGGACCGGCUUUAAUCACUAAUAACUUGUCAAUGGGAGUUGAAACUACUGCAAGAAAUGGACAUCAACAACCGCAAUGCCACAAAAACUGAUCUCAGUCUGCUUCUGGAGUGUGUCAAGUUCCAGAUGAACUGUCCUGAUUUGCAGAAGCAAGCGCUUAUCACCAUUAACUCCAUAUGUGAGAAGAGAGAGGACAAUGUGGACCUGCUGAGAGAAAUUGGAGGUGUGGCAUUUUUGUACAACCUCUCCAAAUCUGAUAUUAUUCAUUCAGACGUGAGGGUGAUGGCGCUUUUUACGCUGGGUACGCUCGCAGAAGCCAAUGUGUACUGCAAGAAUUUUCUGUGUCGAAAGGAGACGUUCAUGGACCUCUGCGGCUACAUGAUGGAAGAAAGCACCUCACUGAAACAGAAGAGUGUGUCUAUCUAUCUGCUGUCUGUGUUGGUAGCCAGCAACAAAGCAGGACAGACUAUAGCCCAAACGACUGGCUGUAUAGAAAUUCUUCUGGACCUCUUCAGUUUAUAUCUCUGCAGCUCCACAUUCCCUGUCUCAAACGAAGACUCUUUGAGAGAUGUCAACACUGCACACGACCUAAGUUUAUGGGUGUCUGUGUCGAGUGCCCUCUGUGGGUGUGUCAACAACCCUCAGAAUGACGUGGCCCAGCGCAUCUGCCUGUCGUCCUUUCCCGAAAUAAAAAAGUGGCUUCAUCAGAUUUCCUUGCCGUGUGCUGAGGUCUUUCACCACCUUUGCUCCUUCAUCGCAAUGACGGUUGCCAACAAUGAAUAUGUGCAGGAUCAUUUUGCCGGCUCUGGGUUGUUGGAAACUCUCAUUUACGUACUGAUUUACCUGGCGUCUGAAUCCGAAACAAGCUCUUUGUCUUUUCGUCUUUCAGUAACGAUAACCAAGACCCUUUCAGCUUGUGUUGCUGAUAAUUCAACCCUGGUUUCAGGUUUGGCCCGGUAUGGGGUAGUGUGCCAUCUCUUCCCCCUGCUGGCUAUCCCAAACCUGGACUGCGAAGACAGGCUCACGGUGCUUGUCAUGCUGGGCCACUGCACUGAGGCUUCUGAGGAGCACCAGUGUCAGUUGGUGCAGUGCGGAGGCCUGCCACUCAUCAUCACUCUACUCGCAGAAGACACCAGCGAGGAGGUCAGGAAGGCUGCGACGUUCAUAUUGCAAACCUGCAAACAGGCCAUCAUGUCCUUGGGAGUGCCUAGUGGGACACUGAAACAACAACAAGAUGAGCAGGUUGUCACAGAAGAAGAGUUUGGCCAUCUUUCUACCCCUCCACCCUCACGAUUGCAGCAUGAAGACCAUUUUACACCACUGCCUCCCACUUUUGGUGUUUUUAAAAUGCUGAAUGCCAUGAAUGUUAUGGAGGAGGAAGGUGGCAUUCAAACAAAGAGUGUGAGAUUCUGUGAAAGGACGCCCAAAGAAAAGGCUGAAACGAGCCAAGGGAAAGUUCAGUGCUCAGUGUGCAAGGGCACCGGAUCGCUCAUGCCUUCCCGUGGACGGCCAUUAGAGGGAGGCAGAGAUGUCGAUGCGGCAAACAGUCACCCAUUGAAACCUGCAGAGCCCCAAGAGCAAAAUGUAGCAGGAACGGUUAAAUGCAAGUUGCAGGCCAGCAAUAUGCUUAGGAAAGAAAUCCCAGAGGAAGAACAGUCCCGCUUUAAUGAAAGAUGUGCAGGUUGUGUGCUGUCUUUCGAGAGAGUGACCAGUCGCACUUUUGCGUCACUCCUUUCAUCCUGCCAUCAGAGCUGUGACAUGCACAGGGCUCUCCUCGAGGCCACAGAGCGCUUCAGGGCCCAUCACCACAGCUCUCUGUCUGGGAGACAGCGCAACAGAGAUGACAUAGUGGAACCGACUGACUCAAAACCUGAGUCGGUGGCACUGGAGAGCCAUGCAAAUUGGAGACCAGGGAAGAUUUCUUGUUUGAACUUUCCUGAAAGUAAAUCAUCAUUCAUGCAUUAUUUCUUGUUCAUGUACCCACAUCUGGACCAAAAUAUAUCAGGAGUAUUCUUCUAUCCAUGCCCCACACAGCCACUGUGUCCCGAGAAAUGUGCAAACCUGCUAACAAACUUUGUCUUCUUUAUUCCUGCUUUCUCCCCCUUUUAACAAGAUGUCAGCCUGACUCCCACCUACAGAGGGGCUAAGUACUCGCUGCCAAGAUACGGCUGGAAUAGGCAUAACGGGAUUACUUUGACGCCAAUGCGAAGAACUUUGAGCAGGACGGACAAGUAAAGCCACGGGAUGCUGGUGGCAGUGGACAAUACUGGGCCAACAAUCCCAUUCUUCCCUGUUUUUUCUCAGUCUGAAUGUUAAGUGUUUAACUACAAGGCCUUCACUUCUAUACUUGUGCUCUUGUUGUAGUGUUUGGUUGUUAGGUAAAGUUUAAAAACUUGUUCUGCUUCACUUUUUAAUUGUGCAGUCACCGUUAAUAGUGUUUGUUUUCAAUAAUAAGACUGUUUGACCUUUGGGUCCUCAUUGUUUAAACUUGUUUACACCCACAUUGGAGGUAUUCAUUUAUCAGUUUAAUCUGAGUUUAGUCUGAUAUUAAACUUUUACUGAUUAGUCUUAACAAAAUGUAUAUAAUGAGACAUACAGUAUCUCACAAAAGUGAGCAUACCUGUCACAUGUCAACAACCAUUUAUCUUAAGUAUAUAUCUUAAGGCACAACACUAUAAAAAUGAAGCUCGGUUAUACUACAGCUUGUAUUGCAGUACAGAUGUACAAGCCACUGAAAAUGACUUGUACAAUAAUGGCUGUGGGUUGAGUAAUUUUCAUUGGAUAGUAAAUCUAUACUGUGAUACUAGCUGGACACUGACUACUACUAAAUAUACAGUAAUCCAGGGGCCUCAAACUUGCGGCCCGAGAGCUAUUUGUGGCCCACAGUACCAUAUUCUGUGGCCCUCUACUAGACUUUUACAACACAAGUACCCCAAAGCAUGCUGGGAAGCUGGAGGCACUCUCAGAGACGGGAAUGAUGGCAGCCUUGUGAUUCCGGAGUGAAUAAUUGAUGCGGCCCAGCCUCACCAAGACUCUACCCCCAAGUAUAUUGAGUGUGAGACCCUGCAGUAAUCCCUUGUUUAUCGUGGUUAAUUGGUUCCAGACCCGACAGUGAUAAGUACAUUUAUGCGAAAUAGGUUUACUUAUUUAUAAAUAAAAUAUUUUCAUAGUUAGGACCAUAAAAAACCUGCUCAGGAUCUUCUAAAUACGGGUUUUAACAUUAGAGCCUGCUAGACAUGAAACAAAACCCUUAUAGUCGCCUUUACACUCGUAUGAUCCAAUAUAGUUGACAGAGAAAAUAAGCCAUUUAAGACAGUGCUCGUGUAUGUCUAAAUAAUGUCUUCCGAUGUGUGCAGGACAGGAUGUGUUGGGGGUUCAGGGUUUUGUUUUGGCUUGGAGCCCGUGCUGUUGUGAUUAUUAUGUUACAUUAUUACUGUGCCUGUUUUGAGACCAUUCAAACCUUCAAUAAAAGCCCUU